rnacentral:rRNA from 1 species
AUUGAACGCUGGCGGCAGGCCUAACACAUGCAAGUCGAGCGGAUGAAGGGAGCUUGCUCCUGGAUUCAGCGGCGGACGGGUGAGUAAUGCCUAGGAAUCUGCCUGGUAGUGGGGGAUAACGUCCGGAAACGGGCGCUAAUACCGCAUACGUCCUGAGGGAGAAAGUGGGGGAUCUUCGGACCUCACGCUAUCAGAUGAGCCUAGGUCGGAUUAGCUAGUUGGUGGGGUAAAGGCCUACCAAGGCGACGAUCCGUAACUGGUCUGAGAGGAUGAUCAGUCACACUGGAACUGAGACACGGUCCAGACGCCUACGGGAGGCAGCAGUGGGGAAUAUUGGACAAUGGGCGAAAGCCUGAUCCAGCCAUGCCGCGUGUGUGAAGAAGGUCUUCGGAUGGUAAAGCACUUUAAGUUGGGAGGAAGGGCAGUAAGUUAAUACCUUGCUGUUUUGACGUUACCAACAGAAUAAGCACCGGCUAACUUCGU